rnacentral:rRNA from 1 species
AGAGUUUGAUCCUGGCUCAGAUUGAACGCUGGCGGCAGGCCUAACACAUGCAAGUCGAGCGGUAGCACAGAGAGCUUGCUCUCGGGUGACGAGCGGCGGACGGGUGAGUAAUGUCUGGGAAACUGCCUGAUGGAGGGGGAUAACUACUGGAAACGGUAGCUAAUACCGCAUAACGUCGCAAGACCAAAGUGGGGGACCUUCGGGCCUCAUGCCAUCAGAUGUGCCCAGAUGGGAUUAGCUAGUAGGUGGGGUAAUGGCUCACCUAGGCGACGAUCCCUAGCUGGUCUGAGAGGAUGACCAGCCACACUGGAACUGAGACACGGUCCAGACUCCUACGGGAGGCAGCAGUGGGGAAUAUUGCACAAUGGGCGCAAGCCUGAUGCAGCCAUGCCGCGUGUAUGAAGAAGGCCUUCGGGUUGUAAAGUACUUUCAGCGGGGAGGAAGGCGAUAAGGUUAAUAACCUUGGCGAUUGACGUUACCCGCAGAAGAAGCACCGGCUAACUCCGUGCCAGCAGCCGCGGUAAUACGGAGGGUGCAAGCGUUAAUCGGAAUUACUGGGCGUAAAGCGCACGCAGGCGGUCUGUCAAGUCGGAUGUGAAAUCCCCGGGCUCAACCUGGGAACUGCAUUCGAAACUGGCAGGCUAGAGUCUUGUAGAGGGGGGUAGAAUUCCAGGUGUAGCGGUGAAAUGCGUAGAGAUCUGGAGGAAUACCGGUGGCGAAGGCGGCCCCCUGGACAAAGACUGACGCUCAGGUGCGAAAGCGUGGGGAGCAAACAGGAUUAGAUACCCUGGUAGUCCACGCCGUAAACGAUGUCGAUUUGGAGGUUGUGCCCUUGAGGCGUGGCUUCCGGAGCUAACGCGUUAAAUCGACCGCCUGGGGAGUACGGCCGCAAGGUUAAAACUCAAAUGAAUUGACGGGGGCCCGCACAAGCGGUGGAGCAUGUGGUUUAAUUCGAUGCAACGCGAAGAACCUUACCUGGUCUUGACAUCCACAGAACUUAGCAGAGAUGCUUUGGUGCCUUCGGGAACUGUGAGACAGGUGCUGCAUGGCUGUCGUCAGCUCGUGUUGUGAAAUGUUGGGUUAAGUCCCGCAACGAGCGCAACCCUUAUCCUUUGUUGCCAGCGGUUAGGCCGGGAACUCAAAGGAGACUGCCAGUGAUAAACUGGAGGAAGGUGGGGAUGACGUCAAGUCAUCAUGGCCCUUACGACCAGGGCUACACACGUGCUACAAUGGCAUAUACAAAGAGAAGCGACCUCGCGAGAGCAAGCGGACCUCAUAAAGUAUGUCGUAGUCCGGAUUGGAGUCUGCAACUCGACUCCAUGAAGUCGGAAUCGCUAGUAAUCGUAGAUCAGAAUGCUACGGUGAAUACGUUCCCGGGCCUUGUACACACCGCCCGUCACACCAUGGGAGUGGGUUGCAAAAGAAGUAGGUAGCUUAACCUUCGGGAGGGCGCUUACCACUUUGUGAUUCAUGACUGGGGUGAAGUCGUAACAAGGUA